rnacentral:lncRNA from 1 species
AGCAUUCACUGUCAAUAAAUAAGAGUCCCAGUAUGUACUGUCAGUAAACAGCGGUCCAGUACUCACUGGUGUUGAUCAACAUGACCGCGUGCGUUUGAGUGAACUGGUGCCGGAGAGGCUGAGGCCUACCUCCCACACGUCACCCUCAGAGCACUUGCGUGUGUUUGCGUUUGCUGGCUCAGAAACACACUGCGACAGCAGAGGGGCAGUUUCCGUGAGGGGCAGGAGCUUGUCGAACUGGCCCCGUACAUGACCAAAAUGAGCUGCGCACGACGACCGCAUUGGCAGCUGUGAACCAGCGGUCCGCCGUCCUCCGGCUCCCCUCCCCCCCACACUUAGAAAAUGUGACCAUUUACAGUGGAAAAAUCGUGAGCACGCGUGCACAAAAUUUAACCGUACAUGGCAGCGAAUAAGGGACGAAAUAGUGACGGCGCCGUCCGCACAUCUGCCUGCACAGCUGCCUGCACAGCUGUGUCCUGCGCUCCUCCUAUCCGGAAGCAGAUGAAGUCACAGUGAUGACGCGCGGAACGCCGGUCACGGAGCUGCUGGUUGUGCAGCAGCGGAGCACGCAGGAUGCGCGAGCUGCUGCUGGACGUUCCCGCCGGAAUAUAUCGCUGGAAUGUCACUUUAAAUGAUCCGCGCGCGGCCGCGCAUCAGCCGCUGCCGCGCAGUUUCGUGCGUGGCCUCGUGCACUCGCCUUUUCCGCAUCUCGUGUGUACAUACAAUAUGUACUCAUUUAAAUGGCAUUUUGAUUUUGCCAGCCUGGGGUUGUUCGUGUGGUGUAUAACACAGGAAGUGACAUCAACAACGGGUCAAAAGCAAAAAAAAAAAAAAAAAAAGAAAAAAAAAUUGAAAUAAAUAAAAGUGUGUCGCAGGAGCGGGACUGAGAAAUGUCCAGAACCCGGCGGUGGUGUGCGCGGUGUAGCGCGCGGCAGCUUCAAGAUGUUCAUGCCUCGUUUCCAAGACUCUGGAGGACAUGAAUGUGCCGGUGCGGCCAGACGUCACGAGAUCAGCUGCUCAGACUCAAAGGACUGCGACAUGUCACUCUCACCGGACACCAGAGAUUGUGAGGCACGGCCAGCUAGCUGGGGAAGCAGGCCGAGACGGUCCUAAUGCUGCCAUCGCUCUUGGCCAAAUGGUCACCGGGCCAGAUUGGCUCCUGCUCGGGCCUCCUCCUGGUUCCUGGUUCUGGUUCAAAGCACUCCUCCGCAGAGUCGCAGCCGACCCCGCACGCACCACAGCCAGGGUAGCGCUAGUGAGCAGCGGCCUGUCAGGGUCAGCAACACAACCGUCGCACGCGUGGGGGGGGCCUCACUUAUUUUUGUGCUAUUGUAGCAAAUGUUGUAAAUAUGCUUUGUGGGUGGGUUAACUAAAAUAAAGUAAGAUAAAAACCAAGUCGUAUUUUGGAA